rnacentral:rRNA from 1 species
GACGGAAGGUGCAAGCGUUGCUCGGAAUCACUGGGCGUAAAGGGUGCGUAGGCGGCUUGGUGGGUCUGGUGUGAAAGCCCCGGGCUCAGCCCGGGAAGGGCACUAGAAACUGCCGAGCUGGAGUGCCGGAGGGGAGAGUGGAAUUCCUGGUGUAGCGGUGAAAUGCGUAGAUAUCAGGAAGAACACCGAUGGCGAAAGCAGCUCUCUGGGACGGUACUGACGCUGAGACGCGAAAGCGUGGGGAGCGAACAGG